AUUGAACGCUGGCGGCAGGCCUAACACAUGCAAGUCGAACGAGUGGCGGACGGGUGAGUAAUGUCUGGGAAACUGCCUGAUGGAGGGGGAUAACUACUGGAAACGGUAGCUAAUACCGCAUACCAUCAGAUGUGCCCAGAUGGGAUUGGCUUGUUGGUGGGGUAACGGCUAAACAAGGCGACGAUCCCUAGCUGGUCUGAGAGGAUGACCAGCCAAACUGGAAUGGAGAACCGGUCCAGACUCCUACGUGAGGCAGCAGUGGGGAAUAGUGAACAAUGGGCGCAAGCCUGAUGCGGCCAUGCCGCGUGUAUGAAGAAGGCCUUCGGGUUGUAAGGUACUUUCAGCGGGGAGGCGUUACCCGCAGAAGAAGCACCGGCUAACUACGUGCCAGCCGCCGCGGUAAUUC
rnacentral:rRNA from 1 species